rnacentral:rRNA from 1 species
CUUUUACUGCGAAAAGGGCUUGGAGAGUUGAGCAAGUCCAUGUACUAGGGAUGGUGUAAGGCCCCCCCUUUUAUAUACUUGCCUAUAUAUUCAAUAUUAGAAUAUCGAUUUAUAUAGAUUUAUUUCUAUUUUACUAGUUUAUUCGAAUGUUUUCAUUAUAGAAUUCGUCUGAUAAGCCCGUUCUCUAAGGUGGAAACACUGUCUAAAACAGCAUACACCAAAACUCAAUGAACUAAAAGAUUUUAUUAAUUGAAGGAAAAGAAACCAACCGGGAUUGCGCUAGUAGUACAGAGCGAAAGCGCAAAAGCUUAAAUAAUUUUUGUUUACGGUCGAACUUAAGUGGAAUCCGGACCAGAGAAAGUUAUAGUCUUGUAGAUUGUAAACAAAAAAAAAAGUGCCGCAAUUAAAAUAUACUUUAUUUGCGCACAUAUUAGUACUUAUUGCGACAUUUAUAUUAUAUAAUACGCGUUAUAUAUAUAAAGUUGCGCAAUAAAUGGGCAAGUUAGUGGUUUUAAACUGCUAAAUUAUUGACGGAUACCACUCUGUUGGCUAAAUACUCUAUGUAGAUCGAUAGUGAAUCAGUACUGUAAAGGAAUUAGGAAACAAGAAUGCCAUUGCUUCUCUGAAUACAAGUCCCGAAACAGGUUGCUUAUAAUGACUUUCAGUUUGGCAGUUAUAAUGUUGAAUAGAAAGGUUCCUUUUGAAUCAUGAGCUGAUGACUUUGUGUUGGUUUAAGGCGUAUUAUUAAUCGUGUAUUAAUAUAAGUGGCUUAAUUUAUUAAAAGUAAGCUUAUUAUGAAAAUAAUCAUAAAAAACUAACACAAGACGCGAAACGAAGUGAGCUUAAGUAGACCAGGGGGAAGGUUGCCGGAAGGUAGUUGGACGCCCGAAGUGGUAUGCGUUGCAACGCAUUCAUAUGAGUUUAUUUAAGUGGCGAAAUACCAAUCGAACUUCGAAAUAUCUCGUUUUUUGCGAAACCUUUUUAGGAAGGGGGCCUGCAAAAUAAAUGCUAACUAGGUAGAGCGCUGUAAAACUGAUGGGAGGGAAACUUUUACUGAGGUGUUGCAAACCACAAAUUAGGAGCAUUUUGCCAGGUACUCAGUCAGUGCGGGACAAGCUGCAUUUGACAAGAAGGAAACAGCCUAGACUAUUAAUUAAGGCCCGCAAAUAGCGCUAAGUGAGAAAGUAAUUAACUUCACAAAAAUUAGUAGGACGUUUGAUUAGCAGCAUCUACCGUUUAAAGAAAGCGUAAUAGCUCACUACUAUAGUUUAGUUGUUGCGAAAAUUUAGCCGGACUAAGCGCUAUGCCGAAAUUAUAGCUAACUGGAAACAAUACAAUCAGUUAGAGUAGCAAAACGAACCAUGUUGACAAAAUUAUGUCGGUAAGACUUAAUGAAAAUAUUGGUUGUGAAUAUAUCAGCUAGAGUAACAUAUAAAUUGAGAUUAUUACUUAAGGCAGCUUUGUAUUAAUGAGUACGAGUGUUAUAAAAGCAUUUUUUUAAUAAUAAAUUAUACUAUUUAUUACUUGAAUUAAUGCAAAGUUGUAUUAAUUCAGAACAGUAUCUCAAUGAUCGGAAAUCCUGGGUUUUCUACACAACUAUUAAAGAUGUAGUUAAAAAUACGGUCCCUAAGUAUCAUAAAGGCUACGAUGGGUACUUGCUGUGUCCAACAAAACCUUAUUCAUAGGUCUGUUGCAGGAAACAGUAGCAAGGAAUUACGUUACGCGUAGCAUAAUAUUUGUCUUAUCUUAUUUUACGCGUAUUAUAAGCACCGUACUAAAACUGACUCUGGUGGAUUGGUAGAUUUUACUAAGAUUUGGUUAUAAUCGCUCGUAAGGAACUCGGCAAAUUGCGCUGGUACUUUCGAAAACAGCGGUCUAAAAGUGGUGUUUUAGAUCUCAGAUAAGAGAACUGGGUGACAGUUUACUAAAAACUUAGCGUCCUGCCAAUUUGAAACAAGACGUAUAGGAUGUGACGUUUGCUAACGGCCACUAAUUUAAGUAAUCUGUUGUAAAAGAUAGAUCAACAAGAUGUGGUGACGAGCGGCCGUAACUAUAACGGUCAUAAAGUAGCGAAAUUCCUAGGCAUUUAAUUGGUGUCCUGCAUGAAUAACGUAACAACCUGGUUGCUGUCUCGCGAGCGAAAACCGUGAAAUAAGAAUAUCGGUUAAAAUACCGAUUAGGCUGUCUUAGACGAUAAGACCCUGUGAAGCUUUACUGUAACCUAACAUUGCGAUCGGUUUUUUAUCUUACAGUUAGGCGGGAGGUAACGACAAUGGAAAACCGCUAGAUAAUAAAUUGGUCGCUUUUAUACAAGAUUACUUUUUAAUCUAUAAGAUAUUUAUAUAAGCAGCUUCAUAGAACAUCGAUUAUGCAAAUAAAAGACAGUAUAUGUAAGUAAGGCUUAUAUAAAACACUUUAAUUAACAAAGAUCGAAGACAGUGUUAGGUGGGCAGUUUACUUGGGGCGAGGUCUGGCUAAAAGGUAACGCCAGAGAGCAAAAGGUAUGCUCAGUAUUGUCGGAAACAAUAUGUAGAGCGUAAUAGUAUAAGCAUGCCUGAUUAUAAGACUGACAAGUCGAAUAAAGACGAAAGUCUGCUAUAGUGACCCUCACACGCUAUGUGGAAAGGUGUGAGAUCAACGAAUCAAAGUUACUCCAGGGAUAACAGGGUAGUCCUGGCUUAUAGUUCUUAUAGACGCCAGGGUUCGCCACCUCGAUGUUGCCUCAGGUCAUCCUGGAGCUGAACAAGGUUCCAAGGGCGCAACUGUUCUUUGCAUAAUGACCUACGUGAGGUGAGUUUAAACCGCCGUAAGGCAGGUUUGGUUCUAUCUAGACAGCCAUAUUUAUUUAACCAAGCACUAGAAUUCCACUGUACGAAAGGACCCGGAAUUCCGCGCCAAUGGUUUAGCAAUUGUUUUGAAAAAAGCAUGGUUGCAACGCUAAGCGUGAAAUGUUAAUUGCUGAAAAACUAUCAAGCAAGAAACAAUUGUAAAGGUUAUAAGAGAUCGCAUUUGCGUAAAUAGGCGCGGGGUGUAAGCUUUGUAAUAAGCUCAGCUACCGCGUACUAAUUUUUU